rfam:Musa acuminata subsp. malaccensis Doubled-haploid Pahang (DH-Pahang) genomic chromosome, chr5
AAGAUAGUGAUGAAGUAAAAAGAUCUAUAUCCAACACUUGAUCUGAGGAUCAAAGAUUCCACUGAUGUAACAUUUCUUUUGCUUCUGAAUCUGA